UACGUAGGGUGCAAGCGUUAUCCGGAUUUACUGGGCUUAAAGGGUGCGUAGGUGGGUAGGUAAGUCAGUGGUGAAAUCUUCGAGCUUAACUCGGAAACUGCCAUUGAUACUAUUUAUCUUGAAUACUUUGGAGGUAAGCGGAAUAUGUCAUGUAGCGGUGAAAUGCUUAGAUAUGACAUAGAACACCAAUGGCGAAGGCAGCUUACUACACAGUUAUUGACACUGAGGCACGAAAGCGUGGGGAUCAAACAGG
rnacentral:rRNA from 1 species